GGACAAUUACCCAAGAGGCUCAAGGGGAACGCUUGGAAAGCGUUUAGAUCGGUUAAACGAUGCAGCAGUUCGAAUCUGCUAUUGUCCGCCA
rnacentral:tRNA from 1 species